rnacentral:lncRNA from 1 species
CUGUAGUGGAAAGUUAAGCCUCAGCUGCUAGUCUUGAAAGGUGAUCACUAGGGCAAAGUUAAUGUGUGUAGAGCUACAACAUACUACUUCGAACAUGUGGAAGCUAACGACCACGAUAUAAAUACGUCAGUCAUCAAUAAAGCAUUGAUAUGUCAUGUGCCUAAAUAACAAUUGAUAUUCCUUGUUAGAAGAAAAUACUGGCAGUUUUCCACAUGUAGUUCCAUAAAAACACUAGUGAUUAAACCGCCGUGACAGGAUUACCAAUAUCUGGAAUUUCCAUCAGAACUGAAAGCCUGCAGCACCUAACAAACAGCUGCACAAACGAGCAUUAUAAGAAAACUGGUCAAGUUGUAGAAAUCAAGGAUGUUCGUGCAUAUAAGAAAGGCCUCAUAUCUACAUGCAUACACGGAUUCUGAGCUGGAUAAUAGCAAGUUAUAGUAUAUUGGCUUUGAAAGUAACAU